GACGGAGGAUGCAAGUGUUAUCCGGAAUCACUGGGCGUAAAGCGUCUGUAGGUGGUUUAAUAAGUCAACUGUUAAAUCUUGAGGCUCAACCUCAAAAUCGCAGUCGAAACUACUAGGCUAGAGUAUAGUAGGGGUAAAGGGAAUUUCCAGUGGAGCGGUGAAAUGCGUAGAGAUUGGAAAGAACACCGAUGGCGAAGGCACUUUACUGGGCUAUUACUAACACUCAGAGACGAAAGCUAGGGUAGCAAAUGGG
rnacentral:rRNA from 1 species